rnacentral:misc_RNA from 1 species
UUUUUUUACCCUAUUUUCAGAACCCCCACUGUCAACUUCUUAGUGCUCAGACUUCAAAAAGCUUUAAUGAUUAAAUAAAUCUAAUUGAGGACAAUUUGUUCAUUUUCUCUCAACAUUGAUCUACCCCCCUGAUCACAAGAUUUUAACUUUUUUUUUUUUAAGAAGCAAUAGCAGCAGCUGCAUAUGUCAAAUGAAAAAUGAAUAUAGCAUAAGGCAUAGCCGAUAGAGGGGAAAUUGCAAUCUCAUCAGUGCUUAUGAAUGAUAAUUGCAUGUAGCUGUCCAGUCUUUUGCAACGCACAAGAUUGAGUAGCAGGGGCCGAUCGAUCAUUGAAUCUUUCAUGAGAAUCAACCUGACAUGAAUUUUUUUAACAAGCUAUAAAUGGUUUAAUCAGUUACCGCUUUCAAGUGUUCAUACAGGAUUUUAAUGAUAUACAAUAUUACAAAGAGUUGGUAAAGUAUUUUCAUCCACCAAACUCUCUAGCCUUAAAUAGCAGCUUCUCCUCCAAGCCCCUUCUUGAAGCUUGGGGAUAAGACGCGUUGUGGGGUCUAGGAGCUUGUGCACUCAGACCCAUCCACAGCAAAACUCAGCCAUGGCCAAGAAAUGCUGUUAAUCUACGCCUAGCUAGUUGGCUACUGUUUCUUCCAAAUAUCCCACCCAAGCCAAGUCCCCGCGUCAAGAAGAAUUACCCACCUAAAUGCAUACUCAAGUCAGGAUUAUGCUCAAGUAUCGUACUAAAUCCAAGCAAGAAAAUAGAAAAAUUUGUUAUUUAUUAACUGUGCUUUUGCGUGGAGAGAGACAUCACUGCUUUUCAAAAGAAGAGGUUACAACUUUCUGAAAAGCAUAGAGUAGUGAGGAAAUAGAGAAGCUUAAGCCUGGAUAACUGGAAAAAAGAGACAAACAUCCACAUGGACAUGGCCAUAGAGAAAAAAAAGGCCAAAACCCAUUCAUUACUUCAUUUCAACCCUUCUCUGCAAUCCAUCCAAUGGCAAACAUUCAUUUUAACAUCCUUUUCACCUUUGUAAAAAAAAAAUACACAAUUAAUUCCCUAAUUUGCUUGCCUUCCCAAUAAACUCUCCCAUCAGAAUGUAAUAAAGACCCCACAUUUACCAUCCCUACCUAUAUUUCUCCACCAAAAAUUUGAACCCAACUUUUACUUUAGAAAAAAAAUGGAAAUGUUGGAAGAAUCCAACCUCAAAAAAGGGAUGUUCGCCUCUUUUAAGAUCCAUCUCUUGCUCUCAAAAAUCAUCAUGUUUCUUCAUCAAACCUCUUGCAAACAACAAGCAUAUAACCAAGAACCCCACUCCAGCAGCACCUCCUAAUAUAAUAGCUACUGUCUUUCCUGGAUUUUGCCCUGUCCCUGAUGAAGAUGAAGAAGAUGAUGAAGAUGCCGAUGAUGAUCUCCUUGGGACCCCAUUUGGAUAAUAACUGUAACUAAUAAAACACUUCUGCAAAUAGAUUUGCCCUGAAAUAGCGUUCCCACAUUCAACCUGAGCUCUCUGCGCAGCAUUUUUCACGCAUUCACCACAAUCUGAAUCCCCCACAUCACCUUCACAUUGACCCAAAACAUACACAGAUUGAUAGCUGGUAGUAUAGAACCCAUGACCACUAACCACACCAUUUUCCAUCACUGAAAACGCAGUAUCCCUUCUCUCUUCAAACCCACUUCCUGCUAUAUUUGUAGCUCCACAAGUCUUGAACAACAUUUCCAUACCAGAAACUUGAGUAAACCCAGCAACCUCAUACAAAAUGUAGCAUCCAUAAAGCUGGACUCUUGCAGCUAUGGUUUUGCCACAGAGUUUGUCAGUCAACACAGGCAGUCCACUGACACACUUGUAGCAGUCACCAACACUAAGGUCUCCUCUACAUUGAAAGAGACCAGUGAUUGUGGUUUGGCCAGUCCCAGUGGUGGUUUUAAAGAACUUGGUUUUAGUUGACUGGGAAACUAAAGAACCAAAGAGAGCGGAGAGGGCUUGUGAGUAUACACCAGUUGGAUCUUGAAAAGCCUGUUUUGCACAGCCCUUAUACACCAAAGUAUUAUAAUCAGUGGCAGAUUGAGCUAGAUUGGUAAAGAGAAGAAGAGAGAGACAGAGGAGGAGGGAAAAGGGUUUUGAGCGAAAACCCAUCUGUGUGUAGGUGUUGAAUGUUGAUAGAUCAAAUCAUGACAGUUAUGAAAGUUGUUUGAAGGAUUUGAGGAGUGGGUUUUUGAUAAAACUGGGAAACCUUGAAGGGUUGGAUUGGAGUGCCUUGAUUUGCUCAAAAAAGAGUUUGUUUUUGGGUAUUGGCUCUGGUUUUUGUGGUUUUGAGAUUUACUUUUUCUCUGGAUGGCCUACCUCUGUAGAUGUGCAGAGUUUGAGAGAUAGGCAGGAGGGGAGGCGUAUAUCUUUUUGCUCUCUCCAUAGCAAGUACAAAAUCCAAUUGGCGAACUGAUAAUGGAGAAGUAAAAAAG